GAUGAACGCUGGCGGCGUGCCUAAUACAUGCAAGUCGAGCGAACAGACGAGGAGCUUGCUCCUCUGACGUUAGCGGCGGACGGGUGAGUAACACGUGGAUAACCUACCUAUAAGACUGGGAUAACUUCGGGAAACCGGAGCUAAUACCGGAUAAUAUAUUGAACCGCAUGGUUCAAUAGUGAAAGACGGUUUUGCUGUCACUUAUAGAUGGAUCCGCGCCGCAUUAGCUAGUUGGUAAGGUAACGGCUUACCAAGGCAACGAUGCGUAGCCGACCUGAGAGGGUGAUCCGCCACACUGGAACUGAGACACGGUCCAGACUCCUAAGGGAGGCAGCAGUAGGGAAUCUUCCGCAAUGGGCGAAAGCUUGACGGAGCAACGCCGCGUGAGUGAUGAAGGUCUUCGGAUCGUAAAACUCUGUUAUUAGGGAAGAACAAAUGUGUAAGUAACUAUGCACGUCUUGACGGUACCUAAUCAGAAAGCCACGGCUAACUACGUG
rnacentral:rRNA from 1 species